rnacentral:rRNA from 1 species
UACGAAGGGGGCUAGCGUUGUUCGGAAUUACUGGGCGUAAAGGGCGCGUAGGCGGCGUGUCAAGUCAGGCGUGAAAGCCCCGGGCUCAACCUGGGAACCGCGCUUGAGACUGGCAUGCUCGAGUUCGGGAGAGGAUGGUGGAAUUCCCAGUGUAGAGGUGAAAUUCGUAGAUAUUGGGAAGAACAACGAUGGCGAAGGCAGCCAUCUGGACCGACACUGACGCUGAGGCGCGAAAGCGUGGGGAGCAAACAGG